AGGCCUGUAGCUUAAUUGGCAAAGCCCAUUUCACUUCCGUCUUUUUAAGACAGUACUUGACUAUGCAGGUUCAAAUCCUGCCGGGUCUA